GACGAACGCUGGCGGCGUGCUUAACACAUGCAAGUCGAACGGAAAGUCCCUGCUUUUGUGGGGUGCUCGAGUGGCGAACGGGUGAGUAACACGUGAGUAACCUGCCCUUGACUUUGGGAUAACUUCAGGAAACUGGGGCUAAUACCGGAUAGGAGCUCCUGCUGCAUGGUGGGGGUUGGAAAGUUUCGGCGGUUGGGGAUGGACUCGCGGCUUAUCAGCUUGUUGGUGGGGUUGUGGCUUACCAAGGCUUUGACGGGUAGCCGGCCUGAGAGGGUGACCGGCCACAUUGGGACUGAGAUACGGCCCAGACUCCUACGGGAGGCAGCAGUGGGGAAUAUUGCACAAUGGGCGGAAGCCUGAUGCAGCAACGCCGCGUGCGGGAUGACGGCCUUCGGGUUGUAAACCGCUUUCGCCUGUGACGAAGCGUGAGUGACGGUAAUGGGUAAAGAAGCACCGGCUAACUACGUG
rnacentral:rRNA from 1 species